CGCUCAUCCAGAGGGGCAGAGGGAUCGGCCCGAAGAAGCCCCGGCAACCCGUCGCGCAGCGUCCGCUGCGACGACCACGGUGCCAAUUCCGACCCGCGACGCGGGAAAGAUGAGGA
rnacentral:ncRNA from 2 species